GGACUACAGGGGUUUCUAAUCCCGUUUGCUCCCCUGGCUUUCGCGCCUCAGCGUCAGAAGUGGUCCAGCACGUCGCUUUCGCCACCGGCGUUCCUUCCGAUAUCAACGCAUUUCACCGCUCCACCGGAAGUUCCACAUGCCCCUACCACCCUCGAGAGCGCCAGUAUCCAGGGCUAUUUUCCGGUUAAGCCGAAAGAUUUCACCCCAGACUUGGCGACCCGCCUACGCGCCCUUUAAGCCCAGUGAUUCCGAACAACGUUAGGACGGUUCGUCUUACCGCGGCUGCUGGCAC
rnacentral:rRNA from 1 species